GUGAAUCAUCGAAUCUUUGAACGCAUAUUGCACUCUCUGGUAUUCCGGAGAGUAUGCCUGUUUGAGGGUAAGCCUAAAAAAAAUCGACAUUGUUGCUGUUAUUUACUGGUGACUUUCGUCGGAGAUUGGGUUCUCUUAAACCUUUUUUUUUUUUGGUUUAAGCGAUUUAAAAUUUUUUUUCACGUUUCUCUCAACGUUUUUA
rnacentral:misc_RNA from 1 species